UACGGGGGGGGCGAGCGUUGUUCGGAAUUACUGGGCGUAAAGGGUGCGUAGGCGGCUCUCUAAGUCGGAUGUGAAAACUCUGGGCUCAACCCAGAGCCUGCAUCUGAAACUGGAGGGCUAGGGUUUUGGAGGGGAAAGCGGAAUUCCAGGUGUAGCGGUGAAAUGCGUAGAUAUCUGGAGGAACACCGGUGGCGAAGGCGGCUUUCUGGACAAAUACCGACGCUGAGGCACGAAAGCUAGGGGAGCAAACAGG
rnacentral:rRNA from 1 species